GAAAUAUCACAUUGACAUAGGUAUUCACACUCUUUGCUAUGACUCUUGAAAUUUGGCUCAGGUGCUUCCAAUUUCUCUUGAUCAUUUUGAGAUGUUUCUACACCUUGAUUGGAGUCCACCUGUAGUAAAUUCAGUUGAUUGAACAUGAUUUGGAAAGUCAAACACCUGUCUACGUACAGGUCUCACAGCUGACAAUGCAUAUCUGAACAAAAACCACACGAGGUCGAACGAACACUUGCAGAGCUCAGAGACGGCAUCGUGUCGAAGUACAGAAGUGGGGAAGGUUCCCAAGAGCAACAUGGCCUCCGUAGUUCUUAAACGGAACAAGUUUGUAACUAGGACUCUGCUGUCCGCCCGGCAUCGGGGGAAAAGAGCUCCAGAGAACCUGCGUGAAGAUGUUAGAAACUUUCGGAGGACACCAGGCACCGCUCAUCACGGCUUAGGGACAAAACCGUCCUCGAGUGGCCCAGCCAGAGGCCGGACUUGAAUCUAAUCAAAACUCUCUGGAGAGAUCUGAAAAUGGCUGUCCACCGCCGGUCUCCAUCCAACCUGACAGAGCUAGAGAGGAUCUGCAGAGAAGUAGCCUAUGGCAGAAAAUUCCCCAAAAUCCAGGUGUGCAAAACGUUAUGGCCUGAUACCAAAGACUACUCGAGGCUGCAGUCGCAUGACUGAGUUACUUCAACUACUUACAGAGUUUAGGAUCUGAAUACUUCAAAUAAAUGUCACAAAUGACAA